GUUCUUAUGGUGUAUGAGCACAUUAGAUUUUCAAUCUUUUAGAGCACUAUUAAAGUUAUUAGUGUUAAGAAUA
rnacentral:tRNA from 1 species